UACAGAGGGGGCAAGCGUUGUUCGGAAUUACUGGGCGUAAAGGGCGCGUAGGCGGCCUGUUAAGUCGAACGUGAAAUCCCCGGGCUCAACCCGGGAACUGCGUCCGAUACUGGCAGGCUUGAAUCCGGGAGAGGGAUGUGGAAUUCCAGGUGUAGCGGUGAAAUGCGUAGAUAUUCGGAGGAACACCAGUGGCGAAGGCGGCUCACUGGUCCAUUACUGACGCUGAGGUGCGAAAGCGUGGGGAGCAAACAGG
rnacentral:rRNA from 1 species